UUUUUAUUUUUAUUUUACUGUUAUUUUACCAGGUAAGUUGACUGAGAACACGUUCUCAUUUGCAGCAACGACCUGGGGAAUAGUUACAGGGGAGAGGAGGGGGAUGAAUGAGCCAAUUGUAAACUGGGGAUUAUUAGGUGACCAUGAUGGUUUGAGGGCCAGAUUGGGAAUUUAGCCAGGACACCGGGGUUAACACCCCUACUCUUACGAUAAGUGCCAUGGGAUCUUUAAUGACCUCAGAGAGUCAGGACACCCGUUUAACGUCCCAUCCGAAAGACGGCACCCUACACAGGGCAGUGUCCCCAAUCACUGCCCUGGGGCAUUGGGAUAUUUUUUAGACCAGAGGAAAGAGUGCCUCCUACUGGCCCUCCAACACCACUUCCAGCAGCAUCUGGUCUCCCAUCCAGGGACUGACCAGGACCAACCCUGCUUAGCUUCAGAAGCAAGCCAGUAGUGGUAUGCAGGGUGGUAUGCUGCUGGCUAAAGUGUAGCCUAUGGAGGGCUUGUGUUUUGGGUAAAGGGUAGCCUAUGGAGGCCUUGUGUUUUGGGUAAAGGGUAGCCUAUGGAGGGCUUGUGUUUUGGGUAAAGGGUAGCCUAUGGAGGGCUUGUGUUUUGAACAUAUGAAACGGAAAACACGAUAUUGUUACAGGAUCAUAACUUCUAAAUACGAGGUAUUCACUGAGGUUCUCAUAUCUAGUUUCAUGAUGGGCCUGGACACAUGUAGCCUACAUGAUGGAGUGUUUUUACUCACGCCCAAAACGGAGCUACAUGGCUAAAAUAAUGUAGGCCUGCCUACAAUAUAAAAAGGGCAGCAAAUGUCAGCUCACUAUUUUUCUCCUCUGAAACUUGAUAUUUUAACUUAAUAAAGCAUUGGUGAUUAAGAUGUAUUUAGAGUCGGACUCACGAGCCAAACAAACCCUUCAUCGACAGUCUUGACUACUGGCAAAUGCAUUGGGCAGGACAAAAACAAUUAAAUAUAGCCUCCCCUCCUCUCAAUAAAGGUCAUGUUUAGUUUUUAAUCACGUAAAACAAAACGGGAAAAACAUUAUUUUUUGUUUGUUUAUAAAUAUAGAGUAGCCUAUACAGGCACCUAAAGCACAUGACUGUGGCGCAUAUGGGCAGUGUGCAUCAGGACUGGAUAGGCUCUGCUUCCACUGUCAUAAUUCAUGCCAUAAUAGUGCUAAAACCAGCUUCUGGUUGGUAUUACAUUUACUUACAUUACUACCAGAGCUGGCUGAAAUUAGCACUUAUCACGAUUUUAAGGACACACCUCAAAUAUUUACACCCCUCCCAUCUGAGCGCAAGUGAGCUGAUAUGAGACAGGUAAAUGAUCAAUCCUUGCGCAAAAGUUUGAAAACAGCAGAUCGCUGGUGUCACGAAUCCCGCUUCCUGAGUCUGGGUUUGCCUGUGUGUCUGUCCUGGAGUGUGUUUCAGGUGUCCUGGAACGCACCCUGUCUGGUUGCCGGGCGAAUUAGCUCAUUGGGAGAUUGAUUUCACCCGCACCUGUUUCCCGUCAGUAAUCUGCACACCUGUCCUGAUCAUCAUCUCUACCCUUCAAAAGCUCUGACCUGACUUCCAUUCCCUGCCGGAUCGUUAGCCAUGAACAUUACUCACCUGGAUCAUUCACUCCAUUCCCGCCUGGUUGACAGAGGAUUCUACUACUACAUUGGAUUCACCUAUUUCCUCUCAUCUACUCACCACCGCUGCCCGCUACGCCAUCUGGAUAUAUCUACCUUUUCACAUUUCACUGUAAAUAAAUACUCACCUUCUUCCUA